CGGGCGGUUGCGCCGCGUGGCCAGGGCGGCGGCUUCCCCGGCCGGCAGCCAGGGGCGGGCCCGUUCCAGCCCGUCCCGGCCGC
rnacentral:tRNA from 1 species